rnacentral:tRNA from 1 species
GUUAGAGUGGCAGAGCCCGGACAAUGCAAAAGACCUAAGCUCUUUCAACAGGGGUUCAACUCCUCUCCCUAACU